rnacentral:rRNA from 1 species
UACAGAGGUCUCAAGCGUUGUUCGGAUUCAUUGGGCGUAAAGGGUGCGUAGGCGGCGCGGUAAGUCGGGGUGUGAAAUUCGUGAGCUUAACUCCGAAACUGCAUUCGAUACUGCCGUGCUUGAGGACUGGAGAGGAGACUGGAAUUUACGGUGUAGCAGUGAAAUGCGUAGAGAUCGUAAGGAAGACCAGUGGCGAAGGCGGGUCUCUGGACAGUUCCUGACACUGAGGCACGAAGGCCAGGGGAGCAAACGGG